rnacentral:ncRNA from 1 species
CAAGAAUGUUGUUUAUCACGGAGUGUUUGUGUACGGAUUUACGAAAAUGCAGAUAGAAGAUUUUUUAUCGAUUUUUGUAACAUCCCGCAUUCUAAUCUGGUUCGACUCCAGAGAGGGAGCUUUAGAAACGGCUACCACUUCAAGGAAGGCGGCAGGCGCGAAACUUAUCCACUGUUGAGUAUGAGAUAGUGACUAAAAAUAUAAAGGCUCAUCCUUUUCGAUGAGUUAUUUCAAUGAGUUUAAUACAAAUGAUUUUUCGAGUAGCAAGGAGAGAGUAAGUCUGGUGCCAGAAGCCGCGGUAAUUCCAGCUCUCCUAGUGUAUCUCGAUAUUGCUGCAGUUAAAAUGCUUAUAGUUGGAUCUAGGUUACGUGCUGCAAAUUGCAAUUCGCGUUAACUGUGAUCGUGACUUUUAAUUUGCUGGUCUGAGGUUGGGGUCGCCCUUCAGCUGUCAGUAAUUUACCUAACUUGAAUAAAUCAGUGCUCAAUA